CGGUGGACUUAACGCAUAUGCACUGGAUUCAGGAGUGAGAGGAGAAAGAAAGCUGCAUUAGGACUGCCGAAGCCCAAACACUCCCUCCUCCCCGCGGAGUUAAUGUCAUGGAAAUCAUGCAGUCAGUCCAAAAGAGAAUAUCCUACAUAUUAUGUGAUAAGCCAUAGAGGAAACCAAGGAAAUUUGGGGACUGCUAGAAUCAGAGAUACUAAACAGAAUUUAGAAACUGAGGCUCAGAAGUGUUAAGUAACUUCCCCACUAUCAGACUGCAAAUUCAAGCCCAUCUGGUUCAAAAGCCCAGGGAAGACUAUCUCCCCACCUCUAAGGAAAACAGGGGAAUAUGCUAGGCCCCUACAUACAGAAGAGUAUUAUUAACAGAAUCUACAUGGAAUUAAUAAAGGCUGCUUUUUAAAAAAAAAUCUGGUCAAAACGCAAAAGACCACUCUAAAGAGAAAAGAAGCCUGAUGUUAAAGAUCAAGUAUCCUCGCAAUUCGUUAUUUAAAUUUUGCAGGCUUUGACAAGGCUUUUCACUAUUUACUGGAAAUGCUUUCUCACCUCUUGACGCCUGUGAAAUUGCUCUUGUCUCAUUUUCCUCAGAACUUCCUGACCCCUCGUCCUUCAGUCUCCUAUCUCUUGCUGCCCCUCAAAGUAAAGGUACUUCCUAGGACUUUGCACUCAGCAGUUCUACUCUUCUUGCUCUGGUGGGUGGUCUCGCCACCUCCACAGCUCUGCAGGCACCCCCAAAUGCCCGUCUUCCGUUCCCACUGAGCCCCGCAGCUGCACACGCACCCGCCCCGCUGUCUAGGGCAGAGGUGGGCAGAGCUCCGCUCAGUGUCUCGUCACCCGCCACGUCCGGACUUCUGACAACCUCACCUCCUGCUUUCCGAGCUGCUUCCCCUCCUGUGGGGAACAGUCAACAGAAACAGCCCCGAGUCAUCUCCCCAAGUUAGAAAUCAGAGAACUCAUCUUGAAUUCUUACCACACUUCCUUUCUCCUCACCCACAAAGAUACCA